AAUGCAGCGAGUCGGACUUGAUUUGUAAUCAGGGGGUCGCGGGUUCGAACCCUGCCGGGGGCACCA
rnacentral:tRNA from 1 species